AAGCCGAUGACGAUGAAACUUGAACUGGAAUUACCGUCUGAAUAGAUUUAUUCUUUGAUGUAAAUUUCUUGGCUGUGGUACUGAGGCUUUGC
rfam:Medicago truncatula strain A17 chromosome 3, whole genome shotgun sequence.